GAAAUGCGAUAAGUAAUGUGAAUUGCAGAAUUUAGUGAAUCAUCGAAUCUUUGAACGCACAUUGCGCCCCCUGGUAUUCCGGGGGGCAUGCCUGUUCGAGCGUCAUUUCACCACUCAAGCCUCGCUUGGUAUUGGGCAACGCGGUCCGCCGCGUGCCUCAAAUCGACCGGCUGGGUCUUCUGUCCCCUAAGCGUUGUGGAAACUAUUCGCUAAAGGGUGUUCGGGAGGCUACGCCGUAAAACAACCCCAUUUCUAAGGUUGACCUCGGAUCAGGUAGGGAUACCCGCUGAACUUAAGC
rnacentral:misc_RNA from 1 species